UACGUAGGCAGCGAGCGUUGUUCGGAGUUACUGGGCGUAAAGGGCGCGUAGGCGGUCAGCACAAGUCAGUUGUGAAAUCUCCGGGCUUAACUCGGAAAGGUCAACUGAUACUGUGCGACUAGAGUGCGGAAGGGGCAACUGGAAUUCUCGGUGUAGCGGUGAAAUGCGUAGAUAUCGAGAGGAACACCUGCGGCGAAGGCGGGUUGCUGGGCCGACACUGACGCUGAUGCGCGAAAGCCAGGGGAGCGAACGGG
rnacentral:rRNA from 1 species